AACGAACGCUGGCGGCAUGCCUAACACAUGCAAGUCGAACGCACCCUUCGGGUCUUGUGUCGCUCGGCUGCGUACCGCGUGGUAACCUGCCCUUAGUAUCGGAUUAACUACCUGCCUGGGAUCCUAAUAUAACUUAUUGUCUUCGUAGCUAAGAUGUAUCGGCUUUGAUUGGUCCCGCGUUGGAUUAUCAAGUUGGUAGGUUAAAAGCCUUCCAAGGCAACGAUCCAUAGCUGGCCUGUGAGGAUGAUCAGCCACACUGGGACUGAGAGACGGCGCAGACUCCUACGGGAGGCAGCAGUGGGGAAUAUGGGACGAUGGGCGAAAGCCUGAGGCAGCAAGGCCGCGUGAGUGAUGAAGGCCUUAGGGUUGUAAAGCUCUUUUACACGGGAAGAUAAUGACAGUACCGGGAGAAUAAGCGCCGGCUAACUACGUG
rnacentral:rRNA from 1 species